UACAUACUCCCUCCGUCUCAAAAUUCUUGUCUUAGAAUUGUCUAGAUACGGAUGUACCUAAUACUAAAACGUGACUUGAUACAUCCGUAUUUAGACAAAUCUAAGACAAGAAUUUUGAGACGGAGGGAGUAUUAC
rnacentral:pre_miRNA from 1 species